rnacentral:rRNA from 1 species
UAGGGAAUCUUCCGCAAUGGGCGAAAGCCUGACCGAGCAACGCCGCGUGAGUGAAGAAGGUCUCUGGAUCGUAAAACUCUGUUAUUAGGGAAGAACAAAUGUUUAAGUAACUAUGCACGUCUUCACGGUACCUAAUCAGAAAGCCACCUCUAACUACGUGCCAGCAGCCGCGGUAAUACGUAGGUGGCAAGCGUUAUCCGGAAGUAUUGGGCGUAAAGCGCGCGUAGGGGGUUUUUUAAGUCUGAUGUGAAAGCCCACGGCUCAACCGUGGAGGGUAAUUGGAAACUGGAAAACUUGGGUGCAGAAGAGGAAAGUGGAAUUGCAUGUGUAGGGGGGAAGUGCGCAGAUAAAUGGAGGAACACCAGUGGGGAAGGCGACUUGCAGGUCUGUAACUUACGCGGAUGUGCGAAAGCGUGGGGAUCAAACAGG